rnacentral:rRNA from 1 species
AGGGAAUAUUGGGCAAUGGAGGCAACUCUGACCCAGCCAUGCCGCGUGAAGGAUGACGGCGCUCAGCGUUGUAAACUUCUUUUAUCAGGGAAGAAAAGUAUUCCUGCGGGAGUAUGUGACGGUACUUGAGGAAUAAGCACCGGCUAACUCCGUGCCAGCAGCCGCGGUAAUACGGAGGGUGCAAGCGUUGUCCGGAUUUAUUGGGUUUAAAGGGUGCGCAGGUGGUUCUGUAAGUCUGAUUUGAAAGCUGGCGGCUUAACCGUCAGAUGUGGUUGGAAACUGUGGAACUUGAAUGGCGUAGCGGGAGCCGGAAUGGGUCAUGUAGCGGUGAAAUGCAUAGAUAUGACCCGGAACACCGAUUGCGAAGGCAGGCUCCUGGGCGCUGAUUGACACUGAGGCACGAAAGCAUGGGUAGCGAACAGGAUUAGAUACCCUGGUAGUCCAUGCCGUAAACGAUGAUUACUGGCUGUGUGUGUUUUGACAUGCGUGGCUGAGCGAAAGCGUUAAGUAAUCCACCUGGGGAGUACGCUGGCAACAGUG